rnacentral:rRNA from 1 species
GACGAACGCUGGCGGCGUGCCUAAUACAUGCAAGUCGAACGCAGUGGGGACGGGUGAGUAACACGUGGCUAACCUCCCAUCAGAGGGGAUAACACUUGGAUACAGGUGCUAAACCGAUACUGAUGGAUGGACCCGCGGUGCAGUAGCUAGUUGGUGGGGUAACGGCGCACCAAGGCCACGAUGCUUAGCCGGCCUGGGAGGAUGAUCAGCCACACUGGGACUGAGACACGGCCCAGACUCCUACGGGAGGCAGCAGUAGGGAAUCUUCGGCAAUGGACGAAAGUCUGACCGAGCAACGCCGCGUGAGUGAAGAAGGUUUUCGGGUCGUAAAGCUCUUUUGUUGGAGAAGCGGUAUCUAACCAGAAAGCCACGGCUAACUACGUGCCAGCAGCCGCGGUAAUAC